UGAUAGGUUUCUGCAACUUGGCUCAGGAAAUACAAAUACAAGUUAAUAUUCCAAACAUUUAGUAGAAUAGAUUGAUUGAAAUCUAAUCAUACUAUUACUAAAACUAUAUGCAGAAUCAAAACUACCAAAAGGUCCAAAUUCGGAGCAUUAAAAGUUCCAUCGGUCUAAUUGGACUUUGGCUUCCGCCAUGUCUUUCUGUGCCUUCUUCCUCCGGUAAAAUAUUGGGCAAUCUCGGCUACAACACAACCAUUAACAACCAUCAAUCUUAGUAUCUUACCAUCCACAAAUAUAUAUACACACACACACACACACUCAUGAACCAGUAGUGAUCUGAAAAUGUAAGGAGCACCUUGUGCAUAAGACAUCUUGAUGAAGAGAUCCUUGACACUCUUGGCAUUGUGUCCACAGCCUCCCAAAAAGCUUCUCUAGCUCCGAUACUUGCGGAAACAAAGAAAACGUAUGUUAUAUGAGAAGAUGGUUACAUUGUUAUUUGUUUCUGUUUUUGUUUACAUACCGUUGUCAACCGUUUUGCAAUAAAGUUCGGCUUCCCUUCCCUUGCAGUGUGAGCAAAGUGUUUGAUCUUUAUUACUGCAAGCAAACACAACCAUUCGAUCCAUUUGCCCAUAAGAAAUAAAAAAACUAGAAGUCAUUUGGGUUGUUGGUAGGUACCUGAUUAAGGCUUUGCAGCCAACGCAACUUAGCUGCUUCUUCGCAAACUUCAUUAUCCCACUGUUUGACGGAGUAGAUAUGGAGAUAGCUCUAGUGUGGCUCCCGUGAAGAAGUUCUCUACUGGCGUUCUUCAAAAUGGGGUCAAAUAUCCUCAACAGUGGCUGCAUCGCAAACCAUCAACAGUCUCAGGUACAGCUUUGAUAAUGACAUAUGGUACUCGGUCUCCAACAUUUGGAGCAGUUGCUGCAUCUCGCUGUAGUAAAUAUAAUACAACAAUGUGAUGAUAUAGCUUGGUUAACAAGUUAUAAUGCUAAAAGAUAACUAACUAUUAACCUUUCUCAUUCGCUCUGCAAGUUCAACAUGUGCUGCCUUUACAUCAUAAUCCUCUCCGGAUUUCGUCAGUCCCUUGGUAAUAACCAAAAGAGACAAAUCCAUGCGAUUCAUAAGCAGAUCUGAAAUGGUAUUUUUGACGUAUUGAACGGCUCCAGGUAUGUCUCUGUCUAUUAGUAUUUUGUUAAGGCACUCCGUUACCAGGUUUUUUACUAACAGACAGUUGUCCCUUCUAACUGU
rnacentral:lncRNA from 1 species